GCGGGCCGGCGGGAGCGGGCUGUGCUGUGAGGGCAGCCCCGGGUGUCUUGUCACCGGCCGGCCCGCGCCCACGGGUGGCCGCCGGGCCCUCCGCGGAGCCUGCCGGCGGGUGAGGCAGCAGGAGGGGGAGUGCGGAGGGGCCGGAGCGCCCUCCGCUGAGGCCGUGGGUGACAGGGGAGGGAGGGAGGCUGGCUGCGGCUGCCGCCGAAUGUGCCUUGUUGUGUGUACCGUGUGUCUUGGUAACCCUGCCUUGGGUGUGGGCUUAGCCGCCGUGCGGCUUGGGCUGGGGGUGCCGUCUGAUUUCGGUUUCCACGUACCGGCUCGCUUAUUUCCUGACUGGUUGUUACCAACUUUUUCACUGGGGGAAUAGAUCUGUUCCUUGGUCAGCGUGCACACCCGCGUUUGCAUUGCCUCCUGCUAAUACAACAAUAUGCUGUUUAUCUUGGGCUGGCAGUUUAGACAGCGUGUGAGGCUUCUCUUGCUUUAUCAUAUUGGUCAUGUUGGUGCUCAGCCGGUGGCCUGAGAGGAGAAAAAAAAAAAUUAGUUGUGCUUUUUUUUUUUUCUUUUCAGAAAUCACUUAAUAAAAUGGAUGGCAAAAUCCAAGCAGUAAGGAAGAUAUCUUCUCUUUGCAGGGUCGCUCAGGAGUCUGCUUCUAAUGCUGCAAAGCAUUGUGAAAAUGCGCUUUAACUUUUGAAUGGGAAGAAUGACCGUACCCAAGAACUGUGCCGAGCUUGCUGUGACAUGGUUAAAGAUUUUCACAUCGUUAAAAACCUAUAAUCUUUAAAAUGCAGUAUUUUAGUAGUUUAACUGCGUUUCUGUUCAACUGUUCUAGUUGUGCUCUCUUCACCAAGACCUAGCCAAUGAAUUCUUAGUGUUGCAGGGUUACCUGAAAUGGCUCAAUAUUGGUGUACUCCAAACUUCUAGUACUCUAAAUCUUUGAAAACCUGUUCAAGGGCCAAGAUGGAUGACAAACUAGUUUUCACCUAAAGCAUAUAAGAAUCUAAAGCUUCUGAUAUUAGAAUAAAACUUUAUCAAAAACUUGAAUCAGAGCAGGCUUUAGACUUUCUUAAAAAGUCUUGAACUAGAUUGAAAACAAAUGAUCUCUUGGCUUAAAACCCACUUUUUGUAAUUGGCUUCUUAAGGUGGUAGCUUGUGUUAGGGAUGUGAUGGUGGGAGUCUGGCAAAACUUAGUGUAAAUGGGAAGAAUGUGAGUCUGUGUGUAAGCAGUUCCAAUAUGUGGUCUCACUGACUUAGCCAAAAUGCACUGAGAGCAGCCUAUAGAAGGUUAUGCAGAAGCUCGUGAAAAAUGCUCUGAGUUGAUAGAAUGAGAACCUCAUGAACUGAGUAAGAGAAACUUGAUGAAGUUACUAAAUAAAUUACUGGUGCAAAAAGUGAUACCUGUAAGCAUUAAUUGGUAGCCUACAAGGCAUGGAGUAGAGAAAUAGUUAACAGUGCUCCUGUCUGAUACUCUAGGCUGUGCUUUAGAAGACCAGACAUUAGAAAGCCUGAAAACUCAUCAAAACAGUUUUGACUAGAACUCUGUAUCUCUUCUCAUAACAAAAUUAAAUCUAUCGUGUCUGAUUGGUGACAACUGGGACUUGGUCAUCAUAACUUUGGUUUUGUAGGUCAAUCUUUGAGAUGUUAUACUUAGCCGUCCUGUGUCUCCAUUGUUGCUGUAUAGCCUCUGCGAGGAAAAACACUCUUCUGUGCCAAUGAAAGAUGAAAAUGCCAAUGAAAGUCCAAACUAAUAUUAUGGCUUCAUUGUAUUGACCACUGUGGAGAUGCUUUAAGCCAUCCUGUGUGAUGUGCUAAUAAACCAUUCCUGAAUGUGGGUGCAAUUUAUACUGGCAAGAUAAUUUUGCCUCUGUCAAGACAGCUCGCUCUUUAUUUAAAUUGGGAAGAGAGGGAAUGAAAAGUGGAACUAAACUAUACUGUGAUUUUUUUCAUAAUUGUCUACGAUAUAAAUGCUUGCUAGACUGGUUAAGUUGGCCACAAAUCACCUUUUGGUGACCCACGAACAACUUCACACUAUGAACAGAAAGGCAUAGGGCCGGGGUGAAGAGUUUACUUGGACGGUUUACAGCAUAAGUAAUUUGGGCAGAGUUGUCAAGUGCUAGCUCAUCAUAUGAGACUAUCGUCUGAGCUGCACUGAAUUUCAAAUGUAUAUGUAUUUAAACAUUAAUGAUAUUUGGUUCUCUGUAUGUACAUGAAGAGUUGGUUGCUGCUUUGAAGAGAUCACCUUCCUUCCUGCAUGGAGGAAGGGAUGCCACAGAGUGCUUAGUGAUAACAACAGUAACUUGUUUAUUAUGUGUUAACAUAGAAUAGUUAGAGCUUUGUAGCUAAUGAGGCAGCUUCAUAGAAAGAAGUAGUGCAAGUUGUAGUGAAGGAAAUACUGAUAAAGGGCUUCCUAUUUGUUUGUGAGGGUGAUGUGCAGAGACAGAAGAGCAACUUUGAUUCAGCUGACUUGCUCAAAAGUGAACAUGGCAGUUAAAACAACUUGAAGAUCUGACCAAGAUAAUAGAACA